UGGGAGGAUGAGAACCUCCGGGGGAAGAGGUUCGACUCGAGCGGAGCGAGAGAACGUUGCGACAGCAACGGCCCGCAGGGCGAGCCACGACGUGGCGAGUUAUCCUCUAUCACCGACC
rnacentral:sRNA from 1 species